CCAGACUCCUACGGGAGGCAGCAGUGAGGAAUAUUGGUCAAUGGACGCAAGUCUGAACCAGCCAUGCCGCGUGCAGGAAGACGGCUCUAUGAGUUGUAAACUGCUUUUGUACGAAGGUAAACGCAGAUACGUGUAUCUGUCUGAAAGUAUCGUACGAAUAAGGAUCGGCUAACUCCGUGCCAGCAGCCGCGGUAAUACGGAGGAUUCAAGCGUUAUCCGGAUUUAUUGGGUUUAAAGGGUGCGCAGGCGGAGGCACAAGUCAGCGGUAAAACCGCGGGGCUCACCCCCGCUCCGCCGUUGAAACUGUGUCCCUUGAGUGCGCGAAGGGUAGGCGGAAUGCGUGGUGUAGCGGUGAAAUGCUUAGAUAUCACGAAGAACCCCGAUUGCGAAGGCAGCUUACUAAACUGUGACUGACAUUGAUGCUCGAAAGUGUGGGUAUCAAACAGGAUUAGAUACCCGAGUAGC
rnacentral:rRNA from 1 species